rnacentral:rRNA from 1 species
GAUUAACGCUGGCGGCAUGCCUAAUACAUGCAAGUCGAAUGGAAGAGCUUGCUUUUCCAUGGCGAACGGGUGAGUAACACGUAGGUAACCUACCUUAAGGACGAGGAUAACCUUUGGAAACGAAGGAUAAUACUGGAUAGGACAUCAACAAAACACAUGUUUAGAUGUUUAAAGGAGCAAUCCACCAUAAGAGGGGCCUGCGGCGCAUUAGCUAGUUGGUAAGGUAAAGGCCUACCAAGGCGAUGAUGCGUAGCCGGACUGAGAGGUUGAACGGCCACAAUGGGACUGAGAACGGCCCAUACUCC